rnacentral:rRNA from 1 species
GACGAACGCUGGCGGCGUGCUUAACACAUGCAAGUCGAACGGAAAGGCCCUGCUUUUGUGGGGUGCUCGAGUGGCGAACGGGUGAGUAACACGUGUGUAACCUGCCCUUGACUUUGGGAUAACUUCAGGAAACUGGGGCUAAUACCGGACAGGAGCUCCUGCUGCAUGGUGGGGGUUGGAAAGUUUCGGCGGUUGGGGAUGGACUCGCGGCUUAUCAGCUUGUUGGUGGGGUAGUGGCUUACCAAGGCUUUGACGGGUAGCCGGACUGGGAGGGUGACCGGCCACAUUGGGACUGAGAUACGGCCCAGACUCCUACGGGAGGAAGCAGUGGGGAAUAGUGCACAAUGGGCGGAAGCCGUAUGCAACAACGCCGCGUGCGGGAUGACUGCCUUCGGGUUGUAAACCGCUUUCGCCUGUGACGAAGAGUGAGUGACGGUAAUGGGUAAAGAAGCACCGGCUAACUACGUG